AGUAGCUCAACGGGUAGAGCGCAGCACUUUGAAUGCUGUUGUUGUGAGUUCGAAUCUCAUCUC
rnacentral:tRNA from 1 species